GCUAGCUACAGGCUUAACACAUGCAAGUCGAGGGGCAGCAUGGUCUUAGAUUGCUAAGACUGAUGGCGACCGGCGCACGGGUGAGUAACACGUAUCCAACCUGCCGUCUACUCUUGGACAGCCUUCUGAAAGGAAGAUUAAUACAAGAUGGCAUCAUGAGUCCGCAUGUUCACAUGAUUAAAGGUAUUCCGGUAGACGAUGGGGAUGCGUUCCAUUAGAUAGUAGGCGGGGUAACGGCCCACCUAGUCUUCGAUGGAUAGGGGUUCUGAGAGGAAGGUCCCCCACAUUGGAACUGAGACACGGUCCAAACUCCUACGGGAGGCAGCAGUGAGGAAUAUUGGUCAAUGGGCGAGAGCCUGAACCAGCCAAGUAGCGUGAAGGAUGACUGCCCUAUGGGUUGUAAACUUCUUUUAUAAAGGAAUAAAGUCGGGUAUGCAUACCCGUUUGCAUGUACUUUAUGAAUAAGGAUCGGCUAACUCCGUGCCAGCAGCCGCGGUAAUACGGAGGAUCCGAGCGUUAUCCGGAUUUAUUGGGUUUAAAGGGAGCGUAGAUGGAUGUUUAAGUCAGUUGUGAAAGUUUGCGGCUCAACCGUAAAAUUGCAGUUGAUACUGGAUAUCUUGAGUGCAGUUGAGGCAGGCGGAAUUCGUGGUGUAGCGGUGAAAUGCUUAGAUAUCACGAAGAACUCCGAUUGCGAAGGCAGCCUGCUAAGCUGCAACUGACAUUGAGGCUCGAAAGUGUGGGUAUCAAACAGGAUUAGAUACCCUGGUAGUCCACACGGUAAACGAUGAAUACUCGCUGUUUGCGAUAUACGGCAAGCGGCCAAGCGAAAGCGUUAAGUAUUCCACCUGGGGAGUACGCCGGCAACGGUGAAACUCAAAGGAAUUGACGGGGGCCCGCACAAGCGGAGGAACAUGUGGUUUAAUUCGAUGAUACGCGAGGAACCUUACCCGGGCUUAAAUUGCAGAUGAAUUACGGUGAAAGCCGUAAGCCGCAAGGCAUCUGUGAAGGUGCUGCAUGGUUGUCGUCAGCUCGUGCCGUGAGGUGUCGGCUUAAGUGCCAUAACGAGCGCAACCCUUGUUGUCAGUUACUAACAGGUUCCGCUGAGGACUCUGACAAGACUGCCAUCGUAAGAUGUGAGGAAGGUGGGGAUGACGUCAAAUCAGCACGGCCCUUACGUCCGGGGCUACACACGUGUUACAAUGGGGGGUACAGAGGGCCGCUACCACGCGAGUGGAUGCCAAUCCCCAAAACCUCUCUCAGUUCGGACUGGAGUCUGCAACCCGACUCCACGAAGCUGGAUUCGCUAGUAAUCGCGCAUCAGCCACGGCGCGGUGAAUACGUUCCCGGGCCUUGUACACACCGCCCGUCAAGCCAUGGGAGCCGGGGGUACCUGAAGUGCGUAACCGCGAGGAGCGCCCUAGGGUAAAACUGGUGACUGGGG
rnacentral:rRNA from 1 species